rnacentral:lncRNA from 1 species
CUGCUGCGCGUGCGCAUUGAGGGACCGGGGCGGGGAGGGGGCAACUGUUCGGCCCCGCCCCGGCCCCGGCCCCCGCCCCCGCCCCCGGCCCUAGGCCGCAGCUGGCCUGGGCUGAGGAAGUUGUCGCCAGCUAGACGGUCUGAGCUGUCCAGGAGCAAGAAAGACUGCUUCGUUCCACAGCAUGCAAAAAUGAAGAAAAGGCAAAACCCGGCUUCGUAGUCAGAGGGCCCCAGUCCGGCACUGCCCCUGAAGGCUACCGGCACCGAGGGUGACCCGUGUGCCGCAGCCUGGCUGAAUUUCCCAGUAGUGAGGGCGCGGCAGCUUUACAGUCCCUGCCCAAUGGUACACUUUUGACAUACACAAUGAUCACAUUCGUCGUAGGGUAUUUGCACCUGUAAAUAACAUUUUAGACAACUUGCUUCAGCGUCUGGACCGGUGGUUCUCGAAGUGUGGUCCCGGGGCCAGCACAGUCCGCGUCACCUCGAGCCGGUGCAGGCAUUAUUCGCUCUUCAUAACGACCAUCUGUGUACCAUCGACCUCAGUUUACAUAGAACAGCCUUCUGGGACUGCGAGGAUUAAACAUAAUGAUGUCAGGCAACAUCUGCUAUCUCCUGGAUGUUACUGAAUGUGACCAGUUGGGCUGUGGAGCUCCUGAGGACUAGGAUAAAAGAUUGACAAGGGCACUCAGCUGUACCCAGAAUCGCCACUGCUGUAAACCUGUGGUCACCUUGGAUUCUAGAGGAGCCACACAUGACUGAAAUGCCCUUCAAGUCAUGAGGAUUCAUCUUAUUGGAACCAAACUGCCUGUCAAGUCUUGAGGAUUCCUCUCAAGCUACAAAACCAGCACUGAGAUGAUGAUGGACUGGACUCCAGCCCACAGGCACCCCAAUCAAACUGGCCCUUUUGCUUCACUAAUGGGCCAGUCAGAUCCUCCUUGUCGGACCGUGCCCCAUUAGUUUCUCAAACUGAAGCCUUUUUUUUUUUUUUAAGCAUUUGCUUACUUUCCUUUGUUAGGGGACCAGCUUGAUCUUUGUCAGAGCUGUAUUCCACUUUAUUUUCUCUUACUUUCCAAUUAAAGCUUUUGCCUGUAAAUUCACAUUGUUGCUUUAGUUUUAAUUUUCAUUAUCUCCAAAGCGAGAACUCACAGAAUUCUUCAGGGCUAUUGGCCCUUAGUUUUGGCAGCUUCUUUUAGUGCAACCUGCUCUACUUAAGAAAAGAAUCACAAGUAGCCAAUAGGACUACUUGAGCGAGGUUUUUUCCUGUGACUUCUGCUGCAGCACAGGGGAUAGUGCACAAGAGGGGGCCUUCCGGG